GAUGAACGCUAGCGGCAGGCCUAAUACAUGCAAGUCGAACGGGAUCCAGAUCAAAGCUUGCUUUGGUUUGGUGAGAGUGGCGUACGGGUGCGUAACGCGUGAGCAACCUACCCUUGUCAGGGGGAUAGCCCGGCGAAAGUCGGAUUAAUACCGCAUGACAUCAUUGAGAGGCAUCUUUCGAUGAUCAAAGAUUUAUCGGACAAGGAUGGGCUCGCGUGACAUUAGCUAGUUGGUAAGGUAACGGCUUACCAAGGCUACGAUGUCUAGGGGCUCUGAGAGGAGAAUCCCCCACACUGGUACUGAGGCACGGACCAGACUCCUACGGGAGGCAGCAGUAAGGAAUAUUGGUCAAUGGACGGAAGUCUGAACCAGCCAUGCCGCGUGCAGGAAGACGGCCCUAUGGGUUGUAAACUGCUUUUAUACGGGAACAAACGUCGGUACGUGUACCGGUCUGAGUGUACCGUAAGAAUAAGGAUCGGCUAACUCCGUG
rnacentral:rRNA from 1 species